AAUUUCUACGAAAGUAGGAAGUUGCCCUUCGGGGAGCCGCAAGACAGGUGCUGCAUGGCUGUCGUCAGCUCGUGUCGUGAGAUGUUGGGUUAAGUCCCGCAACGAGCGCAACCCUUAUCUUUAGUUACCAUCAUUCAGUUGGGCACUCUAGCGAGACUGCCGGUAAUAAACCGGAGGAAGGUGGGAUGACGUCAAAUCAUCAUGCCCCUUAUGACCUGGGCUACACACGUGCUGCAAUGGUUGGUACAACGAGUUGCGAGUCGGUGACGGCGAGCUAAUCUCUUAAAGCCAAUCUCAGUUCGGAUUGUAGGCUGCAACUCGCCUACAUGAAGUCGGAAUCGCUAGUAAUCGCGGAUCAGCACGCCGCGGUGAAUACGUUCCCGGGCCUU
rnacentral:rRNA from 1 species